rnacentral:snRNA from 1 species
GUGCUCACUUCAGCAGCACAUGUACUAAAAUUGGAACGAUACAGAGGAGAUUAGCACGGCCCCUGCGUGAGGAUGACACGCAAAUUCAUGAAGCGUUCCAUAUUUAA